rnacentral:rRNA from 1 species
UACGGAGGGCGCUAGCGUUGUUUGGAAUCAUUGGGCGUAAAGCGCGUGUAGGCGGUCUGGUCAGUCGGGUGUGAAAUACCGGAGCUCAACUCCGGAACUGCAUUCGAUACUGCCAUGCUAGAGUCCCGGAGAGGGUGGUGGAAUUCCCGGUGUAGAGGUGAAAUUCGUAGAUAUCGGGAGGAACACAAGCGGCGAAGGCGGCCACCUGGACGGUGACUGACGCUGAGACGCGAAAGCGUGGGGAGCAAACAGG